AGAUUUUUGUUGGUGGCAGUAUCGUAGCCAAUGAGGUUUAUCCGAGGCGCGAUUAUUGCUAAUUGAAAGAAGACACUGAAGAACAUCAUCUAAGAGAUUAUUUCGAACAGUAUGGGAAAAUCGAAGUGAUUGAGAUCA